rnacentral:rRNA from 1 species
ACCGUUGAAACACCGGUUCCCGUACGAUCCCCGAAGUUAAGCAACGUCGAGCCUGGCCAAUAUCUAGAUGAGUCACCGUUUGAGAAUACGAGAUGCUGUAAG